CCCCUGAUGGCUCAGGAAGUGGUAAAGAAUCUGCCUGCAAUGCAGAAGACCUGGGUUCGAUCCCUGGGUCAGGGAA
rnacentral:tRNA from 1 species